rnacentral:lncRNA from 1 species
AGAGGCGCUGAGUUGCCGACUGGGCUGACCAGGUCUGUUAGGGCAGCGCGGCCGCGGCCAUGAGGGGCUUGAAAGACGAACUGCUCAAAGCCAUUUGGCACGCCUUCACCGCGCUCGACCUGGACCGCAGCGGCAAGGUCUCCAAGUCGCAACUCAAGGUGAGCCCCCUGCCGGCGCUCUUCCUGUAGGGCACGGGACCCGCGGCGGUGUCCGCAGGGAGGGCUGCUUGGGAAUGUGGCGGGGCGGCGGUCCUCACUCUUCCUCAGGCCUCCGGGCGGUGCGCGGGGGUGGACGCGCUCCUGCGGCUCCCGCGACGGCCGAGGUGCGCUCCGAGAGGCGCCGCGGGACCCGCAGAGCGUCUCCCCCCGCCACGGGCUGUAUGGGGGCCCGGGAGCCUCAGGCUCGCCUCCGGGACGCUGAGCAGAGCCUCCCCGCCCCGGCGUCCGCAGACCUUGGGGCCAGUGAGAGCGCGUGCGGAGCGGCCCCGGGUCUUACGGGCUCCCUGCAAAGGCCAUUGCUUUUGCAGAGUCCUCCUCAGGGCUGCCUAAAGACUCCAGAGUAUGAGGUACGCAUAAAGGGAUACUUGUAAGUCGAGUAAACCCCAAAGUGGCACCCAGCCAGGAGAAAUUGGCAGCGUCUUGAAAAGCCUGAAAUAUAGAAACAGACAAGAGGAGCCAUUCAACAGGCAUUUUUAAAAUAUACACAUUUUGGAUCUGAAUGACUGGGUUUUCUUAGCCUCUUCUAAGAAAAAAAAUUUCCGAAGUUUGGGUUUGCUUUGUAUAUUUUGUGUAGUAAAUGAGGAAGUUCUUUUCAGUAGUGACUUUUAUUGCCAGCAGGAUCUGGCGGGCUCACUUGUUUUCCUUUUGAUCUUAUUCAUUAAAUCAUAGUCUGGAAGGACCGAUGGAAAUUAGUCACAUACUUUUACUUUAAAAAAAGUAAUAUACGGGGUCUUGGAGAGAUGGAUGCUCCGUGGUUAGGGGCGACUGCUCUUCCAGAGGUCCAGAAUUCUGUUCCCAGCACCCACGUGGGAUAACUCACAUAGCUAUAGGGGUAGCCUAUAAUUCCAGCUCCAGGGGCUGCCUCUCGCGUCUGUGGGCAGCAGCACACACAUUUUCACAUGCACGCUCAUAAUUUAAAAAUAAUAUUUAAAAAAGUUAAUAAUAGGUUUUUCUGGUGUACAGUUCAACGAGUUUUAGCACACGUAGGAAGUAACUAUCACUAACUAACUAGGAUUUCAUCAGUUCUGUCCCACAAAGCUUUGUCAUACUGCCCCAUCUCCAACAGGUGGUAACCACGGAUCUGUUCUAGUCUUCCUUUUUCAAGUGUGAUAUGAAUUGGAUCUUCUGAAACCAGCUUCCUUUACUCAGAUGAAUGCCUUAGAAGUUAACCUAUAGUAUGUGUAUUGUUAUUGCUAGGCUAGUACAUCUUAUAGGUGUGCCAUAGUUAUCCAUUCACUCUUGAAGAUUUGUUAUUUCUAGUUUAUUCGUGAUUCUGAAUAGAGCUGUAGGACUUUGUUUUUACUUUUACCUAUUAUAAUUUUUAGAUAGUGUGUAGCCAGGUUUUCUUUUAACCAUUCUGAGGUAUCAGAGUAUUUAUUUAGGCCAUGUAUGUAUAAUGUAAUGAUUGAUAUUGAUAGAUUUAGGGUUGCCAUUUUAUUAUGAUUGGCUUCUGUUUUCUUUCUUUCUUUCUUUCUUUCUCUCUCUCUGUAUACUUAGAAUGACCAUUUUGCCACUUUAAGGGGAAUGUAGAAAUCUUAUGCCAUGUAAGAUCCAUUACUCUUCCUGCUUUAUGUUGUAAUUAUUGUGCUUAUUACUCUACAUACAUUGAAAAUAUCUUCCUCCUCAUUCCUCCAACCCUAACUUU